rnacentral:siRNA from 1 species
GAGAAUCUUGAUGAUGCUGCAUC